UUUGGUAUCUUAGUGGCGGACGGGUGGAGUAACGCGUGGGUAACCGUGCCUUACACUGGGGGAGUAACACUUAGAAAUAGGUGCUAAUACCGCAUAACAGAGGGAGUCGCAUGACUUCGUCUUAAAAACUCCGGUGGUGUAAGAUGGACCCGCGUCUGAUUAGCUGGUUGGCGGGGUAGCGGCCCACCAAGGCGACGAUCAGUAGCCGGCCUGAGAGGGUGAACGGCCACAUUGGGACUGAGACACGGCCCAAACUCCUACGGGAGGCAGCAG
rnacentral:rRNA from 1 species